CCAUGACCUUUUAAUCCGAUUUUCAAAACACUCCUAUAACAUGGGAAGAUUGAAAAGUAGAGGUCAUCAAAACCAAAACAAAGAAAAUAACAUAAAACCCAACAGAGAGUCUUUCAUUCAAACUCGCAUCAAGAUUAUAAGAAUCUUUCAUUCAAACUACCCAUUCUUCUACCAUGAAAGUUAAUGUCUAUGCUUUCACCAUCAAAGAUAAAUAGAUAUCAACCUUCAAGAAAUUCAUUUAUUAUUUACCUAGAUGAUUACCAAAGAUCCUUCUCCCAUUAAAUCGAUCCAUUUGUAAAAUCUAUUUGCAUUUCGAAUAAACUAGAGACGGUUGAG
rnacentral:lncRNA from 1 species